GAUUUGACCGUAAGCAAAACACCGGUUCUCGUACGAUCACCGAAGUUAAGCAGCGUAGAGCCAGGUCAGUACUUAGAUGGGGGACCACC